rnacentral:lncRNA from 1 species
AUUAAGGCUGUCGGCAUUUGUGGAAGCGAUGUUCACUACCUCAAGAACAUGAAACUGGCGGAUUUUGAGGUGAAAGAACCAAUGGUGAUCGGACAUGAGUGUGCUGGGAUCGUAGAAAAAGUUGGGAGCGACGUGAAGCAUCUGGUUUCUGGUGACCGCGUGGCUGUAGAGCCCGGCAUCAGCUGCUCACGGUGCCAGCAGUGCAAAGGAGGCCGCUACAAUCUCUGCCCCGACAUGAAGUUUUUCGCCACCCCACCGGUUCAUGGUUCCUUGGCUAACCAGAUUGUGCACCCUGCAGAUCUGUGCUUUAAACUGCCCGAAAACGUGAGCUUGGAGGAAGGAGCAAUGUGUGAGCCCUUGAGUGUUGGGGUUCACGCUUGUCGGCGAGCCAAUGUUGGUCCCGAAACAACUGUUCUGAUCGUCGGUGCAGGGCCGAUUGGGCUGGUUUCCGUGCUCGCUGCUCGUGCUUUCGGAGCACCAAGAAUUGUCAUCGUAGAUAUGGAUGAUAAGCGUUUAGCCGUGGCCAAGUCUCUGGGAGCUGAUGGAACCGUCAAAGUUUCAGCAAAAAUGGAGGAUUUAGAUGACGAAGUUGCCAAGAUUAAAGAAACCAUGGGAGCCGAAGUUGAUGUGACCUUCGACUGUGUGGGUUUCAACAAAACCAUGUCUACGGGCCUCAAUGCUACUCGUCCCGGCGGCAAAGUUUGCCUUGUAGGAAUGGGGCACAGCAUGAUGACAGUCCCUCUGACACCGGCUGCAGCCAGGGAGGUUGACGUGGUUGGAGUUUUCCGGUAUAAGAACACAUGGCCUCUUUGCCUUGAGUUUUUGAGAAGCGGGAAGAUCGACGUGAAGCCGCUUAUUACCCACCGGUUUGGAUUUACCGAGAAGGAGGUGGAAGAAGCAUUUGCAACCAGUGCUCGUGGGGGUGACGCCAUUAAAGUCAUGUUUAAUCUAUAGUAAAUAAAUCAUUAAGUUUCUGAAUUUUGGAUUCGUCGAGAGGACAAGUUUUUGUGAUGGUUUGGAAAAUUG